rnacentral:rRNA from 1 species
CCCUUAGAUGUCCUGGGCCGCACGCGCGCUACACUGAGUGUCUGAGAUACGAGUCUGCGUGGUCCGGCAAGGUCUAGGUAAUCGCUAAAAGACACAUCAUGCUUGGGAUAGAUUAUUGCAAAUAUUAAUCUUGAACGAGGAAUUCCUAGUAAGCGCAAGUCAACAGCUUGCGUUGAUUACGUCCCUGCCCUUUGUACACACCGCCCGUCGCUACUACUGAUUGGAUGUUUAAGCGAGGUUCUCGAACUGCUAGCGACUUAGCUUCGGUGAGGUCGCAGUGUGGGAAGUGAACCUAGCUUUGGUGUCUAGAGGAAGUAAAAGUCGUAACA